GGAGUUAGCCGGUGCUUCUUCUGUGAGUGAUGUCCUUCCUGCCGGCUAUUAACCCGCAGGCCUUCUUCCUCACUGAAAGUGCUUUACAACCCGAAGGCCUUCUUCACACACGCGGCAUGGCUGGAUCAGGGUUGCCCCCAUUGUCCAAUAUUCCCCACUGCUGCCUCCCGUAGGAGUCUGGGCCGUGUCUCAGUCCCAGUGUGGCUGAUCAUCCUCUCAGACCAGCUACGGAUCGUCGCCUUGGUGAGCCGUUACCUCACCAACCAGCUAAUCCGACAUAGGCUCAUCCGAUAGCGCGAGGCCCGAAGGUCCCCCGCUUUCCCCCGUAGGGCGUAUGCGGUAUUAGCCUGGGUUUCCCCAGGUUAUCCCCCACUACCGGGCAGAUUCCUAUGCAUUACUCACCCGUCCGCCGCUCGCCACCAGGGAGCAAGCUCCCCGUGCUGCCGCUCGACUUGCAUGUGUAGCNCGCGCCAGCGUCAUCUGAGCGAGAUACAACUACUCGA
rnacentral:rRNA from 1 species